rnacentral:rRNA from 1 species
GAUGAACGCUAGCGACAGGCUUAACACAUGCAAGUCGAGGGGCAGCAUAGAAGUAGCAAUACUUUGGUGGCGACCGGCGCACGGGUGAGUAACGCGUAUGCAACCUACCUAUCAGAGGGGAAUAACCCGGCGAAAGUCGGACUAAUACCGCAUAAAACAGGGGCACCGCAUGGUGAUAUUUGUUAAAGAAAUUCGCUGAUGGAUGGGCAUGCGUUCCAUUAGGUAGUUGGUGAGGUAACGGCUCACCAAGCCGACGAUGGAUAGGGGAACUGAGAGGUUGGUCCCCCACACUGGUACUGAGACACGGACCAGACUCCUACGGGAGGCAGCAGUGAGGAAUAUUGGUCAAUGGGCGAGAGCCUGAACCAGCCAAGUCGCGUGAAGGAAGAAGGAUCUAUGGUUCGUAAACUUCUUUUGCAGGGGAAUAAAGUGCAGGACGUGUCCUGUUUUGUAUGUACCCUGAGAAUAAGGAUCGGCUAACUCCGUGCCAGCAGCCGACGG